rnacentral:tmRNA from 1 species
GGGGCUGACUUGGAUUUCGACAGAUUUCUUGUCGCACAGAUAGCAUGCCAAGCGCUGCUUGUAAAACAGCAACAAAAAUAACUGUAAACAACACAGAUUACGCUCCAGCUUACGCUAAAGCCGCGUGAGUUAAUCUCCUUUUGGAGCUGGACUGAUUAGAAUUUCUAGCGUUUUAAUCACUCCAUAACCUUAAGCUAGACGCUUUUAAAAGGUGGUUCGCCUUUUAAACUAAGAAACAAGAACUCUUGAAACUACCUCAAGGUUUUAGAAAGUUGGACCAGAGCUAGUUUUAAGGCUAAAAAGCUAACCAAUUUUCUAAGCAUUGUAGAAGUUUGUGUUUAGGACAAGAUUUUUGGACUGGGGUUCGAUUCCCCACAGCUCCACCA